rnacentral:rRNA from 1 species
AUUGAACGCUGGCGGCAUGCCUUACACAUGCAAGUCGAACGGCAGCACGGGGGCAACCCUGGUGGCGAGUGGCGAACGGGUGAGUAACAUAUCGGAACAUACCCUAGAGUGGGGAUAACGUAGCGAAGUUACGCUAAUACCGCAUACGAUCUAAGGAUGAAAGUGGGGGAUCUUCGGACCUCAUGCUCAUGGAGUGGCCGAUAUCUGAUUAGCUAGUUGGUGAGGUAAAGGCUCACCAAGGCGACGAUCAGUAGCUGGUUUGAGAGAACGACCAGCCACACUGGAACUGAGACACGGUCCAGACUCCUACGGGAGGCAGCAGUGGGGAAUUUUGGACAAUGGGGGCAACCCUGAUCCAGCAAUGCCGCGUGAGUGAAGAAGGCCUCGGUUGG